rnacentral:lncRNA from 1 species
UUAUAAAGAAAAAAAAAACGCCGAUUCAAUAAUAUUAUAGAAAAAAGUCUGUUAUCUAGAAACACAGGAGAGGUAAGGGGUUAUAUAUUAUAUAGGUACACAUAGGAUAUUACGACCAGUUAAGGUAUAUAGUUAUAAAAGAUUAACAGCUGCCUGCAUCAUCAGGCAAUUUUAUUAUUUCUUUGUUGUUUGUAUAGGAACAGUUGUAGUCAGUGUAUUCAGAUGAUAAAGUUUUUUUCAAGUCUGUUUAUUUGGGUUCUGAUAAUAAUAUACCUAUUAAUGGAAGGAGUUAAACAGUGGACUUUGAGGGCGGGGACCAAGGGUUAAGCAAUAAAAUGUAAAUUUGAAGAAGGGAUGAAUCAUAAGGAGACAGGUGAUCUUUAGCAUCAUAUUAUUCACUGUCUUUGGCUGUUUAUAUAUUAUAAAAUGGGUCAAUCACUCAUUUUGUGUCGUUUGUAGUUAUUAUGUAAUAAAUGGAAAGGUAUAAACAACACAAAGGCUUCAAGAUUUACGUGGAUUUUGAUGGAUCUAGCAUCAAUUAUGAAGAGUAGUUCAUCUUAGAUCUAUCAAGGGAUUGAACCCGCCCCCCUCUAUGUAGCUCCCUUGCUAGCUAGCUAACCUUAUACAUAGCCAGAUAGGAUAUACCUCCUCAAUGCUCUUGUAUUAAUAUAGCAUCUUUUUAUUAUUUUUAUAACGAGUGAGGGAACAUCACAUAUGAUGUAUUCUACCCCAAACUUCGCAUUGAGGAGGUAGAAAGGAUAAUGGCCACCAUGAUAUGGUGUGGCUAACAGUAACUGAUCAUUAGGGUUUCAUGUUUGAUUGCUUUGAGACCAUGUGUACAACAUAUAAAUAUAUAUUUUUGCAAAGGGCUUAAUUAAGGUGGAGCGUGAAUAAUUUGCUUCGAUAUAUGUAAGUACAUUGUGUAGGUAAUUAGAUUAGCUACCAAACAAACAUGGAAUAAAUAGACGUAUACACAUAUUAUAAUAUAAAAUACAAAGGGUGAAUUAGUACAAAUAAGUAUGGUAACAAAUGUAUAAAAUAUAAAUGUUCUCUUGUUGAUGGUCCACUGUACAUUUUGUGUUGUUCUCUGAUUGCGUCUCUUCCAGAGAUGUUAUUCCUGAUAUACAUAUAUACUAUAUCUGAUGCAUUUAUGGGUCAAGGUAAGGAAAAGGACUGUUUUGACAUAUAAAUUAUCUAAGGUCAAACAAAACUUCAACUUCCCUUUUUCGCGUUGUAUAUUACAGACACGAGUUAUAUAUGUAGUGAGUAUUUGUUAUUUGCAAUGAGGACGCGAUCCAGGAUGCGGCUCCUUGAUGGGGGUCGAGUAGAGUCGGCCAUCUUGUUUGCAUACUUUGGAUUCUUCUUUUUUCUAAAAUGAAGUGUUGAUCAUGAGGAUAGAAGGUGAUGAUGACGAUGAUGAUAGAUCGUUGAACAGCUGACCACAUUCAAAAGCACGGUAUGAAGUUCCUACAUAGUUUGUGAUUAUUGAGAUAUCCGUAGGAACUCUAUACCUCGCUACCGAACGUGCCAAUAAUAGUUAUUAUGAAGAUCAAUCCUUGGAACAAAAUGUACAGGGAAGUGAAGAAAAAAAAAUCUCUCAAAGAUGGAACAAAUCGUCCCAUGAUGUUGAUUCGAGAGUGAACAAUAAUAAUUACAUAGACAAAUAUAUUUAUUGGAUAUAAUUCGCGGGCAUGUGUGUCUUUGGGGCAACUAAGGUUUUUUUUUUUUUUUCAGUUUCAUCCGCAAUGUUUGCAAAAAAAAAGAAGAAGUAAUAAAUACAAUUUGGUAA